rnacentral:rRNA from 1 species
CCUACGGGUGGCUGCAGUGAGGAAUAUUGGUCAAUGGACGCUAGCCUGAACCAGCCAAGCCGCGUGCAGGAUGACUGCCCUAUGAGUUGUAAACUGCUUUUGUAUGGGGGUAAACUCCAGUAUGUAUACUGCUUUGCAUGUACCUUAUGAAUAAGGAUCGGCUAACUCCGUGCCAGCAGCCGCGGUAAUACGGAGGAUCCGAGCGUUAUCCGGAUUUAUUGGGUUUAAAGGGUGCGUAGGCGGGUUGUUAAGUCAGUUGUGAAAGUUUGCGGCUCAACCCUAAAAUUGCCGUUGAUACUGGCAUUCUUGAGUACAGGAGAGGUAUGCGGAAUGCGUGGUGUAGCGGUGAAAUGCAUAGAUAUCACGAAGAACCCCGAUUGCGAAGGCAGCCUGCUGGACUGCAACUGACGCUGAUGCUCGAAAGUGUGGGUAUCAAACAGGAUUAGAUACCCUAGUAGUC